GGUUAAGCGACUAAGCGUACACGGUGGAUGCCCUGGCAGUCAGAGGCGAUGAAGGACGUGCUAAUCUGCGAAAAGCGUCGGUAAGGUGAUAUGAACCGUUAUAACCGGCGAUGUCCGAAUGGGGAAACCCAGUGCAAUUCGUUGCACUAUCGUUAACUGAAUACAUAGGUUAACGAGGCGAACCGGGGGAACUGAAACAUCUAAGUACCCCGAGGAAAAGAAAUCAACCGAGAUUCCCCCAGUAGCGGCGAGCGAACGGGGAGCAGCCCAGAGUCUGAAUCAGCUUGUGUGUUAGUGGAACGGUCUGGAAAGUCCGACGGUACAGGGUGAUAGUCCCGUACACCAAAAUGCACAGGUUGUGAACUCGAAGAGUAGGGCGGGACACGUGGUAUCCUGUCUGAAUAUGGGGGGACCAUCCUCCAAGGCUAAAUACUCCUGACUGACCGAUAGUGAACCAGUACCGUGAGGGAAAGGCGAAAAGAACCCCGGCGAGGGGAGUGAAAAAGAACCUGAAACCGUGUACGUACAAGCAGUGGGAGCACCUUCGGGUGUGACUGCGUACCUUUUGUAUAAUGGGUCAGCGACUUAUAUUCUGUAGCAAGGUUAACCGUAUAGGGGAGCCGCAGGGAAACCGAGUCUUAACUGGGCGUUAAGUUGCAGGGUAUAGACCCGAAACCCGGUGAUCUAGCCAUGGGCAGGUUGAAGGUUGGGUAACACUAACUGGAGGACCGAACCGACUAAUGUUGAAAAAUUAGCGGAUGACUUGUGGCUGGGGGUGAAAGGCCAAUCAAACCGGGAGAUAGCUGGUUCUCCCCGAAAGCUAUUUAGGUAGCGCCUCGUGAAUUCAUCUUCGGGGGUAGAGCACUGUUUCGGCUAGGGGGUCAUCCCGACUUACCAACCCGAUGCAAACUACGAAUACCGAAGAAUGUUAUCACGGGAGACACACGGCGGGUGCUAACGUCCGUCGUGAAGAGGGAAACAACCCAGACCGCCAGCUAAGGUCCCAAAGUCAUGGUUAAGUGGGAAACGAUGUGGGAAGGCACAGACAGCCAGGAUGUUGGCUUAGAAGCAGCCAUCAUUUAAAGAAAGCGUAAUAGCUCACUGGUCGAGUCGGCCUGCGCGGAAGAUGUAACGGGGCUAAACCAUGCACCGAAGCUGCGGCAGCGACACUAUGUGUUGUUGGGUAGGGGAGCGUUCUGUAAGCCUGCGAAGGUGUGCUGUGAGGCAUGCUGGAGGUAUCAGAAGUGCGAAUGCUGACAUAAGUAACGAUAAAGCGGGUGAAAAGCCCGCUCGCCGGAAGACCAAGGGUUCCUGUCCAACGUUAAUCGGGGCAGGGUGAGUCGACCCCUAAGGCGAGGCCGAAAGGCGUAGUCGAUGGGAAACAGGUUAAUAUUCCUGUACUUGGUGUUACUGCGAAGGGGGGACGGAGAAGGCUAUGUUAGCCGGGCGACGGUUGUCCCGGUUUAAGCAUGUAGGCUGGUUAUCCAGGCAAAUCCGGAUAAUCAAGGCUGAGGUGUGAUGACGAGGCACUACGGUGCUGAAGUAACAAAUGCCCUGCUUCCAGGAAAAGCCUCUAAGCAUCAGGUAACAUUAAAUCGUACCCCAAACCGACACAGGUGGUCAGGUAGAGAAUACCAAGGCGCUUGAGAGAACUCGGGUGAAGGAACUAGGCAAAAUGGUGCCGUAACUUCGGGAGAAGGCACGCUGGUGUGUAGGUGAAGUCCCUGCGGAUGGAGCUGAGACCAGUCGAAGAUACCAGCUGGCUGCAACUGUUUAUUAAAAACACAGCACUGUGCAAACACGAAAGUGGACGUAUACGGUGUGACGCCUGCCCGGUGCCGGAAGGUUAAUUGAUGGGGUUAUCCGUAAGGAGAAGCUCUUGAUCGAAGCCCCGGUAAACGGCGGCCGUAACUAUAACGGUCCUAAGGUAGCGAAAUUCCUUGUCGGGUAAGUUCCGACCUGCACGAAUGGCGUAAUGAUGGCCAGGCUGUCUCCACCCGAGACUCAGUGAAAUUGAACUCGCUGUGAAGAUGCAGUGUACCCGCGGCAAGACGGAAAGACCCCGUGAACCUUUACUAUAGCUUGACACUGAACAUUGAGCCUUGAUGUGUAGGAUAGGUGGGAGGCUUUGAAGCGUGGACGCCAGUCUGCGUGGAGCCAACCUUGAAAUACCACCCUUUAAUGUUUGAUGUUCUAACGUUGGCCCCUGACCGGGGUUGCGGACAGUGUCUGGUGGGUAGUUUGACUGGGGCGGUCUCCUCCCAAAGCGUAACGGAGGAGCACGAAGGUUAGCUAAUCCUGGUCGGACAUCAGGAGGUUAGUGCAAUGGCAUAAGCUAGCUUGACUGCGAGCGUGACGGCGCGAGCAGGUGCGAAAGCAGGUCAUAGUGAUCCGGUGGUUCUGAAUGGAAGGGCCAUCGCUCAACGGAUAAAAGGUACUCCGGGGAUAACAGGCUGAUACCGCCCAAGAGUUCAUAUCGACGGCGGUGUUUGGCACCUCGAUGUCGGCUCAUCACAUCCUGGGGCUGAAGUAGGUCCCAAGGGUAUGGCUGUUCGCCAUUUAAAGUGGUACGCGAGCUGGGUUUAGAACGUCGUGAGACAGUUCGGUCCCUAUCUGCCGUGGGCGCUGGAGAAUUGAGGGGGGCUGCUCCUAGUACGAGAGGACCGGAGUGGACGCAUCACUGGUGUUCGGGUUGUCAUGCCAAUGGCACUGCCCGGUAGCUAAAUGCGGAAGAGAUAAGUGCUGAAAGCAUCUAAGCACGAAACUUGCCCCGAGAUGAGUUCUCCCUGAGACUUUAAGUCUCCUGAAGGAACGUU
rnacentral:rRNA from 1 species